rnacentral:pre_miRNA from 1 species
UUUACGUAAUUANNNNNNNUUUUCUCACAUGUUUAACCAUUCGUCUUAUUCAAAAAAUUUACGUAAUUACAAUUUAUUUUGUUAUGAGUUGUUUUAUCACUCAUAGUACUUUAAGUGUGAUUUAUAUCUUAUACAUUUGCAUAAAUUUUGUUUGAUAAGACGAAUGGUUAAACAUGUGAGAAAAAGUUAACGGCGUCAUCUAUU